CCUACGGGUGGCAGCAGUGGGGAAUAUUGCACAAUGGGGGGAACCCUGAUCCAGCGACGCCGCGUGGGUGAAGAAGUAUUUCGGUAUGUAAAGCUCUAUCAGCAGGGAAGAAAGAAAUGACGGUACCUGACCAAGAAGCCCCGGCUAACUACGUGACAGCCGCCGCGGUAAUACGUAGGGGGCAAGCGUUAUUCGGAAUUACUGGGAGGAAAGGGGGCGAAGGCGGUAAUGCAAGUCUGAUGUGAAAUGCAGGAGAUCAACCCCUGAACUGCUUUGGAAACUAUGUGACUGGAGUGUGGGAGAGGUAGGUGGAAUUCCUAGUGUAGCGGUAAAAUGCGUAGAUAUUAGGAGGAAUACUAGUGGCGAAGGCGACUUACUGGACUGUAACUGACGUUGAGGCACGAAAGCGUGGGGAGCAAACAGGAUUAGAUACCCCAGUAGUC
rnacentral:rRNA from 1 species